rnacentral:rRNA from 1 species
GAGGGGAUGGNAACUGCUGAUCUAGAGUAUNGGAGAGGAAAGUGGAGUUCCUAGUGUAGCGGUGAAAUGCGUAGAUAUUAGGAAGAACACCAGUGGCGAAGGCGACUUUCUGGACGAAAACUGACGCUGAGGCGCGAAAGCCAGGGGAGCGAACGGGAUUAGAUACCCCGGUAGUCCUGGCCGUAAACGAUGGGUACUAGGUGUAGGAGGUAUCGACCCCUUCUGUGCCGGAGUUAACGCAAUAAGUACCCCGCCUGGGGAGUACGACCGCAAGGUUGAAACUCAAAGGAAUUGACGGGGGCCUGCACAAGCGGUGGAGUAUGUGGUUUAAUUCGACGCAACGCGAAGAACCUUACCAGGUCUUGACAUUGAUGGACAGAACCAGAGAUGGUUCCUCUUCUUCGGAAGCCAGAAAACAGGUGGUGCACGGUUGUCGUCAGCUCGUGUCGUGAGAUGUUGGGUUAAGUCCCGCAANGAGCGCAACCCCUAUCUUAUGUUGCCAGCACGUGAUGGUGGGAACUCAUGAGAGACUGCCGCAGACAAUGCGGAGGAAGGCGGGGAUGACGUCAAAUCAUCAUGCCCCUUAUGACCUGGGCUACACACGUACUACAAUGGGAGUUAAUAGACGGAAGCGAGAUCGCGAGAUGGAGCAAACCCGAGAAACACUCUCUCAGUUCGGAUCGUAGGCUGCAACUCGCCUACGUGAAGUCGGAAUCGCUAGUAAUCGCAGGUCAGCAUACUGCGGUGAAUACGUUCCCGGGCCUNG